UAAUGCAAAUGGAAACAAAACACCAGCUUGCUACAAACAAAAUAGUAUUUUCUCCCGUCUAUUGUAAUCUACUGAGAAAUAAAGUGUAUUUUGCUGCUCUAACACAAUGAAGCCAGACGAUAAUACUCCGAGACACAUGGAAUCAAGAACCCCAAGCAACAUCUGAAGCACAGCAGGCUUCACUUUCCUGAGGUCAGAGGACGUUUACAGUUGGAAGAGGAAGGACACAAAAGAAGGGGAUUGCUCUGAGCACCAUUUUAUCACUAACCAACAGCAUCUACUGACAGUUUAAUAGGCUGAAAGCAGGUGGUUUUCUUUAAGCAAGACAUACCCGACCGAAUUACUCUAAAUAUGUAUGGAAAGGAGAUUUUAAAAUUGCAAUCCAAAUUAUUAAUUAAAAAUUAAUAUUAAUGUACAGACACUCCAGUUUGCUUUCAGUUUUUAAUUUUUCUCAAUUUUUCAAAUCACAGUGACAACAAACCUCACAACAAAACAAAUGUUUCCUUAUCUGCUGCAGUAAAAUAACCUGUCACACGUAACUGAAAUCUCUGGCAAUCUUCAGAAUCUAGACGUCUUAUUACUUCCUUCUUUCACCACUUUGUCCUUGUGCCUCCUUCCUUUUUCCCUCCUUACAUCCUGCGCUUUGCUUUAUUUCUCUUUCAGCCUCACUAAUUUGCAAUUGAUUAGCUGUCCUCUCUCAGUCCUGCGCGCACUGCUCCUCCCUCGCCGUCUCUCCUCCCCACCCACCCGUCCUGUCCUCUCUUCCAUCUACGAGUCAAUUUCUCUUUAACGAGCCUCGGUACAUUUCUCUCCCCUGGGCACUAGAGCCCUUCUGUGUAAAUAAAACAGGGAGCAGAGCCAAAAAAAAUCAAUGGGCCUAUUACCCUUAGAAAAUGCUAAACAAGCAAUAUUAGCGACUCUCUUGGAAGUGGUGGCUGAUUGCCUUAAUACCUGCCCGCCAAAAGAAACACCUCCGUCUCCUUCUAUCCAUUCAUCUGCACAAUAAUCCGCAUGCUUUCUAACACACACUCGCGCAGUAAUACUCAGGCAUGCUGGAGCAAGAGUCAAAAUAAUUUGCUUCCAAAGCUCUCACACACACACACACACAACCGCAUGAUGCAUGAACCCACAGACUGCUGGCAGAAAUUAGGGAUUCGCUCUCCUGACAGAAAUCAUUCGGCACCACACAGAGCUGCAGGCCACAUUUUACCGCUUCUCAUUUUGUCUGUC